UGGAUGGAGAUGAAAAGAGGAAGAUGGGAGAAAAGCAAGGAAAUGGAGAAGCAAGGAAGAAGAUAGGAGGAAAAGGAGGAAGAUGGAGGAAAAUAGGAGAAGAAAGGAAAGGAGAGAUGUGGGAGAAGGGAGAUAAAAAAGGCAGAUUGGAGUGUAGUGUAUGCACUGAAGCCAGCCUUUUCAUGAGCAACCCUUUGUCAUUUCUGCUUAGUGCUAGCCAGACAUCUUCACCAGCUCACUCUGUUGGCUGGAGAAGAGUGAGUCACACCAAAGAGGAAAAAAUGAGGAGAUAAAGAGGAAAACUAAGAAAUAAAAAUGGAAAAGAAAAACAAAUGUGAAUUAUAAAUGUAUCUAUACACAAAGCAUGAGGUCUUUCCACAAGUUCUGCAUGUGUCAGCAAUGGCAUGCUGGACAUCAGGAGAAGUGUGGCCAGUAGGUCAAGGAAGGUUCUUCUCCCCCUGUAUUCUGCCCUGGUGAGACCACACCUGGAAUGCUGUGUUUUGGGCUCCCCAGUUUGAGAGAGGCAGAGACCUGCUGGAGAGAGUUCAACAGAGAGCCAAGAGGAUGACUGGGGGGACUUGAGCAUCUCCCUAUGAAGAGAGGCUGAGACACCUGGGGUUGUUUAGUCUGAGCCAUCAAAAACCUCAGCAGACAAAAGAUGUGCAAGAGAAUCCAUUAGGCAGAGAAACCAGGGAGUGGUGGAGUGAUGGAAACCAUGCAGAACAACGGGAGGAGAGGACUGGUUCUUCUAGCCACCACUGUGUCCAUGCAAGGAGUAGUAGCAAAGAGCAGCUUAGCUCCUUGCAGUGAUAACGUUUCUCCAGGAUACAGCAAAGCCCAUCUCGUCCCAACCCAGUUGCCAAAGUCAUCAGCAGAUCCUGCCUGUUCUUCUCCCUCACUAAGAGGUCCUGCAGACCUUCACAAAGCACCUCGAGCUUCAGCACACCAAGGCUGGCCCUAGCUAACUGCCACUUGAUUGAGCUGAUUUCGGCUCUGCUCAGAGUUGUAUUAUAAAUUCUAAUUUGCUCUGUUUAUUUAAUGAAACUCAUUGAG